rnacentral:tRNA from 1 species
GCGUUGGUGGUUCAGUGGUAGAUUUCUCGCCUGCCACGUGGGAGACGGGGGUUCAAUUCCGCGCCAACGCA